GCUGACAGAGAGAAAAGGAGGCGACCGGAAGAGCUUUAGGAGUCGCCGGAAAAUAGCAAGAGAUCAUUUGGUUUCUGAUUUAUGGGUGGUGGAUUUUUGGAAGGGUUUAGAGACAAGGUCGUGCUGAUAACGUUAUCUUGCUAUUUUGUGAAUGAAGAGGGGAACUUGUGUAUUAUUAGGUCGACCAACUGGUUUUUAUAUACAUAUGGUAAUGACGGUCUAAGUACUGGAUCGACAUGAG
rnacentral:lncRNA from 1 species